GACAAGGUGGCCGAGUGGUUAAGGCGAUGGACUGCUAAUCCAUUGUGCACAUGUGGGUUCGAAUCCUAUCCUUGUCG